rnacentral:rRNA from 1 species
CUAAGGCUGAUGGCGACCGGCGCACGGGUGAGUAACACGUAUCCAACCUGCCGUCUACUCUUGGCCAGCCUUCUGAAAGGAAGAUUAAUCCAGGAUGGCAUCAUGAGUUCACAUGUCCGCAUGAUUAAAGGUAUUUUCCGGUAGACGAUGGGGAUGCGUUCCAUUAGAUAGUAGGCGGGGUAACGGCCCACCUAGUCAACGAUGGAUAGGGGUUCUGAGAGGAAGGUCCCCCACAUUGGAACUGAGACACGGUCCAAACUCCUACGGGAGGCAGCAGUGAGGAAUAUUGGUCAAUGGGCGAUGGCCUGAACCAGCCAAGUAGCGUGAAGGAUGACUGCCCUAUGGGUUGUAAACUUCUUUUAUAAAGGAAUAAAGUCGGGUAUGCAUACCCGUUUGCAUGUACUUUAUGAAUAAGGAUCGGCUAACUCCGUGCCAGCAGCCGCGGUAAUACGGAGGAUCCGAGCGUUAUCCGGAUUUAUUGGGUUUAAAGGGAGCGUAGAUGGAUGUUUAAGUCAGUUGUGAAAGUUUGCGGCUCAACCGUAAAAUUGCAGUUGAUACUGGAUGUCUUGAGUGCAGUUGAGGCAGGCGGAAUUCGUGGUGUAGCGGUGAAAUGCUUAGAUAUCACGAAGAACUCCGAUUGCGAAGGCAGCCUGCUAAGCUGCAACUGACAUUGAGGCUCGAGAGUGUGGGUAUCAAACAGG